rnacentral:rRNA from 1 species
UACGUAGGGUGCAAGCGUUGUCCGGAAUUAUUGGGCGUAAAGAGCUCGUAGGCGGUUUGUUGCGUCGGCUGUGAAAUCCCGAGGCUCAACCUCGGGUCUGCAGUCGAUACGAGCAAACUAGAGUGUUGCAGGGGAGACUGGAAUUCCUGGUGUAGCGGUGAAAUGCGCAGAUAUCAGGGAGGAACACCGGUGGCGAAGGCGGGUCUCUGGGCAACAACUGACGCUGGAGGAGCGAAAGCCGUGGGGAGCGAACAGG